AAUGCGGGCACAGGGGGAACGCUCUGUAAAGAGGUAUUUGCGAGAAAGAAGCUGCCGUGUUCGCCCCGUGAAGUGUUAGGUCUGAGCUGGGGUUUCGGAGUUCUGAAUGGAGGGUAUCCCCAUUCAGAGACACUGGGGGUGGUACACCGCAGGUUUCUACUGCGGCUGUGUUGCUGCCGGUGUCUACCUGGGCUACAGACGGGAGCGACACUGGCGGGAGCAGGGCGUCGGUCUCCGCAGUCCCCGCCAGCCGCCGCUCUUUUUUCUCGGGAAGGACCGUACGACGAAAGAGUACUUGGAGCAAAAAGGUGAGACCGGCAGUGGAGCGCUCACGCAAGGCGCUCCGCGCUCACGUCCGCAGCGCUAAUCCACGUCGUUUGUUGUGUGCGUGGUGACGGUGCCCGGUGCCGCGACUGAUGCCGUGUAAGGUUGGGAGGAAGAGCGCUGUAGAGGUAGGGAAAGAUGGGACUGGAAUGGAGAGUGCAUUUUGGAAAACUGGGUUGCUAAGCCCAAUUUCUAGAAGCACGCACUGCGCUUUUGGGAGUUGCGACGCUCUCCGGGCAGGUAGCAGGCAAACGAGAGACGGAACCUUGACCUGUAUCGUUGAACCCGGACGCGUGCUUGAAUAUCGAAGGGAUACAAGCCGCGCGGCCUGACACAAUGCUUCAGGUGCAGCCUACGUCUUGACGUGGGCAAAUCAUGUGCAUAGGCGUUGGGGGUGUUCGUAGGCGCUGUGCUCUAUACAGGGACGCACAUGCGUCUGGUGCGCGUUGCCUGGGGGCAUGCAUCUCAGCACUCGAUGCGACGGAUAUUACGAGUCAGACCUGCAGUGAUGGAAAGCCCAUGUCGGAUAAAUUUUUCUGUUAGAGUUUCACACAUGGGAUGGAUUAUCGAGAAUCACGCUCCACCGCAUCGCAUGCCGUAUACUGGAGGAUGCAGCGCGCAACAUUCACUGACGAAAUCAUGGUGCGACAUGGGCACUGCGGCACGCGCCUAGGAAUGGUAUGCAUAACAUGCAAGCACCAUAGGUACUGUGCAUUUCUCUGGACUCUGUAUCUUGGCUUGAUAUGGGCAUCGUGAUACCGAUAACACGCAAGCACCAUAGGUACUGUGCAUUUCUCUGGGCUCCGUAUCUUGGCUUGAUAUGGCCAUCGUCAUACCGAUAACACGCAAGCACCAUAGGUACUGUGCAUUUCUCUGGACUCUGUAUCUUGGCUUGAUAUGGCCAUCGAUGGAGGCUCAACCGUAUAUAGGGUCUCGUCCGCCGCCACGCGAUCAUCGUCAGCUAUGUCGCAGCAUCUGCACGUCCAUGCAUUGCAUCCUUGACAAGCGUUCGACUGCUCGCCCCGAAAGGAAUUUAACUUCACGGAGAACGGGGCAAUGCACCUCGCCAUACAGAGGAAACGCUCCCGCAUAUUGGACACGGCCAUAGGCCAGAGCGCUAGCUGAAGAUCAUCCAGAGGUUCUGGGGGGAGUGCUCGCCACACCCGGUGUCAGAUGAAAAUGGAACACUGAAUGGCUCGAUCUCGAACUGUUUUUCGAUUCCUCUCAAAAUUUUCGUUUAGCUGUGAAUACUCGACAUACAGAGUGCAGCGUUUGAAGCAUAAGGAGUCGUACGUAUCGUUCGGAUUCUCAUGCGUCGAGUCUGAGUGGAACCCUGGAUACGCUGCUGCCGGAAUUCGUUGCGUCACCGGAUUCAAGAUGAUUCGCGAUGCCCUCGAACAAGGCUUUGUGAAGCUAUCGAUAUCAUCAUCCAAUGCAGACGUGCAAGCAUGCACUCUUUUCCAUUCCCUGUGCAAAGGUCGCUGAAAUCAUGCGAUCUUUAGGAUGUCGAUCUAUCCGCUUCCGAGCAACUGUUGGUCGCAGCAAUUCACGCCCCCCGAUUGACGAGGAAAGAAGAUCGGCGUCGUCCGUUGACGUUUUCUUCACAAGCUCGUGCCGCAAGUUCACUUACUUUGCCACGUCAGCUAUUCGAUUCCGUUCGAGAGACAAAUCACUCUCUUGUUGUGGCCGUCGACGACACCGCAUACGACAGCAUCACCAUACCGCUUAUGGGGUUUGCUUCCAAGGGCUCCCUUCUCUUCUGUCUACAUGGAAACGUGUCUUGGACUGGGAAUCGAGUCAUUGCAGUGAUCGCUUCCAGAGGAACGUACGUCAUCGCUCUGCUCCAAAGGAGCGUAGACGGAUCGACACAUCCCUACCUGAUCCCUGGCCUGAAUGAUUUUUCCGUGACUCGUUUCAUGAUGGACAACAUCUCUUUCCAUACACCAUCUGUUGAAUGGAACAGCAUGUGCUUGCGUAUGCAGCGAGCAGCCUACCUGCCAACUGGGUCGCUUCGAAAAAGCAGCCCGUGAUCAUAGGGCACGGCACCGGGCGCUGAGACAAAGGACGGCAUCGAGGAUUGCACGCUUUACCAGUCGAAGGCGUGUACAGCAUGAAUAAGCAAACGUUCACGCGCCACAGAGCGGCCCCCGGGAAAGGAAGCCUCGUAGACAUCUGGGAUUACCGGACCACAAUCCAGCGUCACCAGAGCGGUGGACGCACCCAGGAUGCAUACGAAGAAGAUAAAAAUCGCAUGCGAA
rnacentral:misc_RNA from 1 species